rnacentral:rRNA from 1 species
UAGGGAAUCUUCCGCAAUGGGCGAAAGCCUGACGGAGCAACGCCGCGUGAGUGAUGAAGGUCUUCGGAUCGUAAAACUCUGUUAUUAGGGAAGAAUAAAUGUGUAAGUAACUAUGCACGUCUUGACGGUACCUAAUCAGAAAGCCACGGCUAACUACGUGCCAGCAGCCGCGGUAUUACGUAGGUGGCAAGCGUUAUCCGGUAUUAUUGGGCGUAAAGCGCGCGUAGGCGGUUUUUUAAGUCUGAUGUGAAAGCCCACGGCUCAACCGUGGAGGGUCAUUGGAAACUGGAAAACUUAAGUGCAGAAGAGAAAAAUGGAAUUCCAUGUGUAGCGGUGAAAUGCGCAGAGAUAUGGAGGAACACCAGUGGCGAAGGCGACUUUCUAGUCUGUAACUGACGCUGAUGUGCGAAAGCGUGGGGAUCAAACAGG